rnacentral:rRNA from 1 species
UACGGAGGGGGCUAGCGUUGUUCGGAAUUACUGGGCGUAAAGCGCGCGUAGGCGGAUCUGUAAGUCGGGGGUGAAAUCCCGAGGCUCAACCUCGGAACUGCCUUCGAUACUACAGAUCUCGAGUCCGAGAGAGGUGAGUGGAAUUCCUAGUGUAGAGGUGAAAUUCGUAGAUAUUAGGAAGAACACCAGUGGCGAAGGCGGCUCACUGGCCCGAUACUGACGCUGAGGCACAAAAGCGUGGGGAGCAAACAGG